AGUUCUGUUCAGAGGAUAGCAACUUCCAAAAAAAUCUAUCUUUAUUUGCUAUCUUUGUUGUUUCAUUUCACCUUCAACAUCUUUCUUCAGUUUGGGUUUUGUGGCUAUCUUUCUUCUGGAUUAGUUUCAUUAUAGUUCAACGUCUCCCCCACCAGACGUUGGAAUGAAGAAUCGAUUUUGAGGCUUUAAUCACACCUUUCUGAUCCCGAACUACUAGUCCUGACGUCGAUCUGGAAUUUAUAAUAUCAAAAGCUGCGUCGAACUGUAUUAUCUCCCUCAUUGACUCCCCUCCCUGUCCUUGAGUUCUAGCAGACGUAAAGGUAAGCUUUUUUUCACGCACUCCUUCAAGUUCCAAUAAGUAGCUCUGUAUUUUGUGUGAAAGGUCCCUUCCUGAAGUGAUUUUCCUCUCAUGAACCAUCUGAUUCCGUGAGCCCCAAAUAACCCAUAAGGUGCAGCAGAACAUUCAGAUCUGCUCCUUUGUACCCCUUCCAAAAACCCAUGACAUUGCCGAAACACGUGGUAGCUGUCUUCUUCUUCGGAGCAGCAUCGAGGACAACUAGCAUUUGUAAUCACUCUCUUGUAUCUAAGAUUAACUAGCGUAGGGAUAUAGUUCCAGAAAAUCUGCCAUAUAAGAAUUAAAAUUUUUUAUGGUAGUUGUAAAUUCCAUAACUUCCUCUAGAAUUUUUUAGUUUCGGCCUGUACUAAAUAACUACUAGGAUCCAAGCUAGCAUCUUGUAAUAGUUUGUAGGCGUUUCAUACUGAAAACUCGCCAGAGUGUUAACCUUUCUACACUUGCAUGUCUUCACAGUCUGUUAUCGCAAGAGGAAUCUGCAAUACUCUUUGAGCAA